CCAAUAGCGUAUAUUAAAGUUGUUGCAGUUAAAAAGCUCGUAGUUGAACUUCGGGGUUCACCCAUUGGUCAGGCUUAAUUGUCUGUACUGGUGAGAUGAGUCUCUACCUUCUGAGGAACUUUCAUGCCAUUUAUUUGGUGUGGUUGGAAAUCAGGACUGUUACUUUGAAAAAAUUAGAGUGUUUAAAGCAGGCUAACGUCUGAAUACAUUAGCAUGGAAUAAUGAAAUAGGACGGAUUGAUUCUAUUUCGUUGGUUUCUAGGGUCACCGUAAUGAUUAAUAGGGAUAGUUGGGGGCAUUAGUAUUCAAUUGUCAGAGGUGAAAUUCUUGGAUUUAUUGAAGACUAACUACUGCGAAAGCAUUUGCCAAGGAUGUUUUCAUUAAUCAAGAACGAAAGUUAGGGGAUCGAAGACGAUCAGAUACCGUCGUAGUCUUAACCAUAAACUAUGCCGACUAGGGAUCGGACGCAGUUAAUUUUAUAAUGACGGGUUCGGCACCUUACG
rnacentral:misc_RNA from 1 species